AUGCUGACACAAACUCUGUUGAUCAAGGCUGUACGGAAGAACCAAGCUGCUAGCAGUGCAUCGGACAACGAGAUUAACCAGCACGCCAUCCGCUGGUUCAACCUGGCCUCUGACCGUGGAGGUGGCCGCAAAGAACGUGCCAUGGCCAGAGAGGCCAUUCAUUAACCGUGGUAAGAGACUUGCUUGCUGGCGGGGCUGUGGUCCGCUGGCAGAACACUGGGUGCUUUCUGAUCAGGUGCCGUCGGGAUGUUGCCGAGGCGACAUAAAUUUUGUUUUACGGUGGACGGACUGCAACAUUACUGAGUUGUUGUUUUCUUUUAGCUUGAAAUAAUCCCAUACUUUAGACACCUUCUUCUCCCCUCCCUAUUUUCUCUCUCUUCCUCCACUUUGCAAACAGCGCCAUCUUAAUUACGUUGUGUUCACAGCAUAAGCACGAUGUGCGACAGUAAUAAAUGUCCAUGCAAA
rnacentral:lncRNA from 1 species